CCUACGGGUGGCAGCAGUGUGGAAUAUUGGUCAAUGGGCUUACGCCUGAACCAGCCAAGUCGCGUGAGGGAAGACUGCCCUAUGGGUUGUAAACAUCUUUUGUCAGGGAGCAACGCCGGCUACGUGUAGCCGGACUGAGAGUACCUGAAGAAAAAGCAUCGGCAAACUCCGUGCCAGCAGGCGCGGUAAUACGGAGGAUGCGAGCGUUAUCCGGAUUGAUUGGGUGUAAAGGGUGCGUAGACGGAAUGCCAAGUCAGCGGUAAAAUCCCGGGGCUCAACCUCGCUCCGCCUUUGAAACUGGCUUUCUUGAGUGGGCGAGAAGUAUGCGGAAUGCCAGGUGUAGCAGUGAAAUGCAUAGAUAUCACGCAGAACUCCGAUUGCGAAGGCAGCCUACCGGCGCCCAACUGACGCUGAAGCACGAAAGCGUGGGUAUCGAACAGGAUUAGAUACCCCAGUAGUC
rnacentral:rRNA from 1 species